rnacentral:rRNA from 1 species
GAUGAACGCUAGCUACAGGCUUAACACAUGCAAGUCGAGGGGAAACGGCAUUGAGUGCUUGCACUCUUUGGACGUCGACCGGCGCACGGGUGAGUAACGCGCAUCCAACCUUCCCAUUACUGUGGGAUAACCUGCCGAAAGGCAGACUAAUACCGCAUAGUCUUCGAUGACGGCAUCAGAUUUGAAGUAAAGAUUUAUCGGUAAUGGAUGGGGAUGCGUCUGAUUAGCUUGUUGGCGGGGUAACGGCCCACCAAGGCUACGAUCAGUAGGGGUUCUGAGAGGAAGGUCCCCCACAUUGGAACUGAGACACGGUCCAAACUCCUACGGGAGGCAGCAGUGAGGAAUAUUGGUCAAUGGACGGAAGUCUGAACCAGCCAAGUAGCGUGCAGGAUGACGGCCCUAUGGGUUGUAAACUGCUUUUGUAUGGGGAUAAAGUUAGGGACGUGUCCCUAUUUGCAGGUACCAUACGAAUAAGGACCGGCUAAUUCCGUGCCAGCAGCCGCGGUAAUACGGAAGGUCCAGGCGUUAUCCGGAUUUAUUGGGUUUAAAGGGAGCGUAGGCUGGAGAUUAAGUGUGUUGUGAAAUGUAGACGCUCAACGUCUGAAUUGCAGCGCAUACUGGUUUCCUUGAGUACGCACAACGUUGGCGGAAUUCGUCGUGUAGCGGUGAAAUGCUUAGAUAUGACGAAGAAAACCGAUUGCGAAAGGCAGCUGACGGGAGCGCAACUGACGCUUAAGCUCGAAAGGUGCGGGUAUCAAACAGG